rnacentral:rRNA from 1 species
UGAAUACGAGAUGCUACGGCGUCGAAGCAGUGUAUGUCAGACUUCCAAGAAAAGCUCGCAAUGUCAUAAAUAAAGAAUGCCUGUACCAUAACCGACACAGGUGGGUAGGUAGAGUAUACUAAGGGGCGCGAGAUAACUCUCUCUAAGGAACUCGGCAAAAUAACUCCGUAACUUCGGGAGAAGGAGUGCCUUCUUUAAGAAGGUUGCAAUAACAAGAUCCAAGCAACUGUUUAUCAAAAACACAGGUCUCCGCUAAGUCGUAAGACGAUGUAUGGGGGCUGACGCCUGCCCAGUGCCAGAAGGUUAAAGAAGUUGGUUAGCUUUUGCGAAGCUGAUGACUGAAGCCCUGGUGAACGGCGGCCGUAACAAUAACGGUCCUAAGGUAGCGAAAUUCCUUGUCGGGUAAGUUCCGACCCGCACGAAAGGCGUAAUGAUUUGGAUACUGUCUCGGAGAGGGACUCGGUGAAAUAGACUUGUCUGUGAAGAUGCGGACUACCUGCACCAGGACAGAAAGACCCUAUGAAGCUUUACUGUAACUUGAAAUUGAAAUUGGACUUUAUUUGCGCAGUAUAGGUGGAAGGCGUUGAAAGUAAUCUUGCGGGAUUAGUGGAGCCAUCAGUGAGAUACCACUCCUAUAAUGUUAGAUUUCUAACUUUGGAUCAUGAUCUGGUCAAAGAACAGUUUCAGGCGGGCAGUUUGACUGGGGCGGUCGCCUCCCAAAUGGUAACGGAGGCGUACAAAGGUUUCCUCUGAACGGGUAGAAAUCGUAUCUAGAGUGUAAAGGCAUAAGGAAGCUUGACUGUGAGACCUACAAGUCGAGCAGGGACGAAAGUCGGUCUUAGUGAUCUGACGGUGCUGAGUGGAAAGGCCGUCACUCAACGGAUAAAAGUUACUCUAAGGAUAACAGGCUGAUCUCCCCCAAGAGUUCACAUCGACGGGGAGGUUUGGCACCUCGAUGUCGGCUCAUCGCAUCCUGGGGCGGUAGUACGUCCCAAGGGUUGGGCUGUUCGCCCAUGAAAGCGGUACGCGAGCUGGGUUCAGAACGUCGUGAGACAGUUCGGUCCAUAUCCGGUGUAGGCGUUAGAAUAUUGAGAGGAGCCUUCUUUAGUACGAGAGGACCGAGAAGGACAUACCUCUGGUGUACCAGUUAUCGUGCCAACGGUAAACGCUGGGUAGCUAUGUAUGGAGAGGAUAACCGCUGAAAGCAUCUAAGUGGGAAGCCCACCUCAAGAUGAG